rnacentral:rRNA from 1 species
UAGGGAAUCUUCGGCAAUGGGGGGAACCCUGACCGAGCAACGCCGCGUGAGUGAAGAAGGUUUUCGGAUCGUAAAGCUCUGUUGUUAAAGAAGAACGAGUGUGAGAAUGGAAAGUUCAUGCUGUGACGGUACUUAACCAGAAAGGGACGGCUAACUACGUGCCAGCAGCCGCGGUAAUACGUAGGUCCCGAGCGUUGUCCGGAUUUAUUGGGCGUAAAGCGAGCGCAGGCGGUUAGAAAAGUCUGAAGUGAAAGGCAGUGGCUCAACCAUUGUAGGCUUUGGAAACUGUUUAACUUGAGUGCAGAAGGGGAGAGUGGAAUUCCAUGUGUAGCGGUGAAAUGCGUAGAUAUAUGGAGGAACACCGGUGGCGAAAGCGGCUCUCUGGUCUGUAACUGACGCUGAGGCUCGAAAGCGUGGGGAGCGAACAGG